rnacentral:rRNA from 1 species
CGUCGUGCGGUACAGACAGCAGCUUGCUGCUUUGCUGACGAGUGGCGGACGGGUGAGUAAUGUCUGGGAAACUGCCUGAUGGAGGGGGAUAACUACUGGAAACGGUAGCUAAUACCGCAUAACGUCGCAAGACCAAAGAGGGGGACCUUCGGGCCUCUUGCCAUCGGAUGUGCCCAGAUGGGAUUAGCUAGUAGGUGGGGUAACGGCUCACCUAGGCGACGAUCCCUAGCUGGUCUGAGAGGAUGACCAGCCACACUGGAACUGAGACACGGUCCAGACUCCUACGGGAGGCAGCAGUGGGGAAUAUUGCACAAUGGGCGCAAGCCUGAUGCAGCCAUGCCGCGUGUAUGAAGAAGGCCUUCGGGUUGUAAAGUACUUUCAGCGGGGAGGAAGGGAGUAAAGUUAAUACCUUUGCUCAUUGACGUUACCCGCAGAAGAAGCACCGGCUAACUCCGUGCCAGCAGCCGCGGUAAUACGGAGGGUGCAAGCGUUAAUCGGAAUUACUGGGCGUAAAGCGCACGCAGGCGGUUUGUUAAGUCAGAUGUGAAAUCCCCGGGCUCAACCUGGGAACUGCAUCUGAUACUGGCAAGCUUGAGUCUCGUAGAGGGGGGUAGAAUUCCAGGUGUAGCGGUGAAAUGCGUAGAGAUCUGGAGGAAUACCGGUGGCGAAGGCGGCCCCCUGGACGAAGACUGACGCUCAGGUGCGAAAGCGUGGGGGAGCAAACAGGAUUAGAUACCCUGGUAGUCCACGCCGUAAACGAUGUCGACUUGGAGGUUGUGCCCUUGAGGCGUGGCUUCCGGAGCUAACGCGUUAAGUCGACCGCCUG